AAAAAAAAGCAAAAAAAAUGGGAAAUGGCGUCGAAUUUUUUUGUUUUUUUUUCGUUUUUUUUGUUUCU
rnacentral:ribozyme from 16 species